CGUCCGAGCCUGAUCAACAACAAGCACUCCUGGAAACAGCAAGCGCCGAACAAGUACACUGCCUGUGUCUCUGUGUAGAAAACGUUAUGAAAAGAAAAUAUUUAAUGCCGAAGCAUGUGAUGAAGAAACUCCGACCUUACAAAAAUGAAAUGCUUAGUGAAGGUUUCCUUGGACUAUUACUAAGUCCUAUUUUGGAAAGCCUGGCUGAACUUGUAUAAAAGCCCUGUGAUUACAAUUUAUACAUCAUUUCAACAAUGAACAUCGAGAGUAAAACAU
rnacentral:lncRNA from 1 species